AUUCCCCCCCCAUAUCUUUUCCCUCCCCCUCCUUCCUAUCUCCCUUCUCUCCCUUUGCCCUCCUCCUUCCUCCCCGCCCCCACCUAGCCUUUUGCUGCUUUCUCUCUUUUCCCUCCCAAAUCAACUAGGAGUCUACCAAAUGCCACUCUGCUGAGGUCCAGUGGUCGGCAACGUACAAGGUCCAUUCAACAUGAGAGUUCUUGACCAGGUCCGCACAUCCGAGCCCCCCGCCCCAGCACUGAAAUAUAAAAGAUUCUCAGGCCCACCCAGGCCUACCCCAUUAGAAUUCGAAAGGGCACAGACUAAGAAAGGGGUUUUGAAAACACUUCCCUGUGACUUUGUUACGCAUAAAACCACCACCCUGCGGGCGGGCGGACAAUAGUCAGGCACUCCGUGGUGAGUGCUGGGAAAGAGGUAUGAACAAGAAGCUGUGGCAGCAGAGAGAAGCCAUGCACGCAGCGGUUAAAGAGAUUUGGUGGUCGGGGAAAUGUCAUAGGGGUAAACUGAGUCUUGAAUGACGACUGGGAGGCUUACUGGGUUUUAAGGGCAGAUGAAAGCCCAAGAGAUAGGAGAGGUCAUUGGACAGAUCUGUAGGUCACUUCAGGGGCUCUCUCGUUCAGCACAGCUGGGUGAGCAUAAGCAAAGAGGGAGAGCACUGGGGUGCGACUAGGGUGGCAGCUAGGGGCCAAGUGGUGCCAGCAUUAGCCGUCUGCCAACUCGUCUGAAUUUUUGCCUGAAAUCUGUGGGAAAAUCUUGAGAGUUUUAAGGAGGACAUAAUAGAGACAUAUUUACAUUUGAGAUGAGUAAACCCACGGCGGUGCUAUGAGGCCAAGUCAAGGAAGACCAUCAAGGGAGUUCUUACAGUCACGUAAACCCAGGGUCAGUCCCCAAUGUGAUUUAAACAUGAGCUCAAGACGGCUGUGUGAGUCACGCGGGCGGAAUUUACCGGUCGAUUUCCAAAUGUGUCCCCUUGUGCCUGUGCAGACCCAGUGGGCGGUACUUCUCCUGUAAUGCCAUAAUCUACCACUUUAACCUUAUUGUUCAGGGUUGCACAAGACCAUUGUCAUGCAAUUACAUCAGAUACUUUGAGCAUAUCCCUCCUCACACCUCCUGGCCCCCACUUUCUAGGAGUCCCCCUUGUUCUCCAGUUUCACAUCUACUCGGUCAUCUGUAAUAGACGGUUUGUGCUUCUCUAAAGUCUAGGACCCACAAAUGAGAGGAAACGUGUGAAGUUUGUGUUUCUGAGACUGACUUAAUUCUCUUGAUGUAAUUAUUUUACCUGACACCAAGCAAUCCAAGGGAAGAAAGGUCUAUCUGGGGCCACAGGUCUAGGGGAACAUUCCGUCAUGGUGGAGAAGGUACGCUAUGGGAGGGGGAGGAACAAGAGGGGUCACGUGUCCACAGUGACAAAGCGGAGCAUGAUGAACGCUGGUAUUCAGCUCUUUCUCCUUGUUACUCAGCCUGGAACCUCCAGCUAUGGAAUGGUGCCACCCCCGUUUAGGGUAGGCCUUUCUACCUCUAUUAACAUAAUAUGUACCCAGCAAUUUGUUUGCAUAUUAAUUCUAAUUCUCAUGAACUUGAUAAAAUUAACCAUCACAAAGUCUGAAGCAGCCAGGGAGGACACAUCAUUCAGCUUCCUUCAUUGGACCUGCUGCCUUCUGUGGCCGUCUAACAAUGGACGUAAAGGAUCUCCCACUUCCACAGGCCGUGACGGCUCCCAGGUUCCCACUUUCAAGUCACUCCUGUGGUCCUUCCACUGUAGAACUCCUGAACCCACCUUCUGGUUCCGUUUUGUUCAGUCUAUCUCUAAGGCCGGAGCAGCCGCCAGAGAACAGGAAGAGACAGGUCAAAGAAGAUUCUAGAAUAGGAUGGAAAAAAAAGGGUCCCCCUCUUGGCAGUACUCUGGCAACAUAGCAGCAUCACCGUUUUCCUCUCGGUACCAGGACAAGGACUCGGAAUCAUUGCCCACCAGUCCUACAUCCAAUCAGCCCCACAAAAGGGCUGCCAGACUUGUGCGAAAACGGGUCUUCUCAACAUUGGGGUGACUCCUGGGUUUUGGAAGACCAACAUCAGAAUUUUUGCAGCCAAGAUAUCAGCUGGUCCAAUGAGUCUGGACAGAGCAGUCUGGACUUGCUUUUAAUAAUGAGGUUUUGACUUUCAGAAAAUGCCCUGGUGGAGGAAGGAAAAGUCACCAUGCAAAGCCCUGCACUCCAAGCCCAAGGCUUGAGGAAGAGUUAUGACAGCAGCAACAGCAGCCCGGCUCCUCUUGGGGGUCUGCCAGCGUCCCCACACUCGACAGUCUUCUGGAGUCUAUACCAUGCGCUCUGAGUCUCAUCUCAGGUUCAGGACCACACCAAGCUGCCUCGCUUUGCUGUUGACUCUGCACCUGGAACACAUCUUAAAGAGGAGGAAGACAGUCAAGAAUCUAAAAUGGGAUGGAAGGAAGUCUUCCUCAUCCCUGGAGUUUUCUGGCAGCAGGAAUGAUGCCAUGCUUUCUCAGUGCUGUGAUGGAUAACGGGACUGGCCCCUUAGCUGAGACAAAGGUCUCGUAUAACCCAGGCUGGCUUCAAAUUCACUAUGGAGCUGAGGUCUCUACCUCUCUACAAGUGCUGGGAUGACAGGCAUGUGCCACUUUAUCUGGUUUUAUGUAGAUCAGAAGAAUGGACUGUGGCUUCAUGCAUGAAUUCUCUGAUUGAGUGGAUGAAUCCCACAGUGAUCCUGUGAACCAAUGUCAAUCGAAUGUGUAAUACCUGCCAGGCCUGCUUGGAAGCACGUCUCAUAAUCACUCACUUAAUCCCCCUGACAGACCUGCACAAGGGCACCAUCCAUAUCUUCAUUUUAGGGACUGGGACUUGAAAGCAGAGCAUUUCUGCCCCUUCUCAAGGGCACAGAAUUGGUAAAAGGAUGAUGUGACCCAGGCAGGUCACCCCAAGCGCCUUUGACCUCGCACACGCUCCUCUUCUGGUCUGUUGGGCUUUUCUUUCCACCUGGCAAGAAUGAAGUGGAGUCAGGGAGGGAAGGCCUAGAGAGCCACAGCUGGACACACACUUGCAGGGUCAGCCGCGAUGAAACUGACUAAGUGUGGGGCAUACAGUGAAUUGCUUUGCCUCUCCAUGCCUCAGCGUCCUCAUGUGCAAGUGGAGGAUAAGAGUGUCUGUCUCAAACGUGGAGCGGAGGAUUAAUGCGUGCCUGAAACAGAAAUCAGAUCAACUAAUGGAAGUAACUGUGGGGGUGGCUUUGAUAUCAAGCCAUCAUUUCCACAUCAGGGCUGCCUGUGGCCAUCCCAGGAGAGCCCUGCCUCCCGGAGCGGCAGGGACUCUGCUGUCUUGACUGGAAGAUCGCAAAUUCUCCCUCCCAAAGUCUUUGACAGGUAGGAAAGGGAUGGCAUUUCCAGACCCACAGCAGAACAA